UUUCCGUAGGUGAACCUGCGGAAGGAUCAUUCAUAAUAAGUGUUUUAUGGCACUUUUUUAAAUCCAUAUCCACCUUGUGUGCGAUGUCAGGGUUGAUUUUUCUCUCGAGAGGAUCAACCCCAAACAUCAACUAUAUCUCAACUCUUUGUCUGAAAAAUAUUAUGAAUAAAACAAUUCAAAAUACAACUUUCAACAACGGAUCUCUUGGCUCUC
rnacentral:misc_RNA from 1 species